GCCCCCUUAGCUCAGUUGGCCAGAGCGGCUGUCUUGUAAACAGCAGGUCGUCGGUUCGAUUCCGACAGGGGGCU
rnacentral:tRNA from 2 species